GGGGAAUAUUGCACAAUGGGGGAAAGCCUGAUGCAGCAACGCCGCGUGGGUGAUGAAGGUUUUCGGAUUGUAAAGCCCUGUCUUUUGGGACGAUAAUGACGGUACCAAAGGAGGAAGCCACGGCUAACUACGUGCCAGCAGCCGCGGUAAUACGUAGGUGGCGAGCGUUGUCCGGAUUUACUGGGCGUAAAGGGUGCGUAGGCGGAUAUUUAAGUGGGAUGUGAAAACCCCGGGCUUAACCCGGGGACUGCAUUUCAAACUGGAUAUCUGGAGUGCAGGAGAGGAAAGCGGAAUUCCUAGUGUAGCGGUGAAAUGCGUAGAGAUUAGGAAGAACACCAGUGGCGAAGGCGGCUUUCUGGACUGUAACUGACGCUGAGGCACGAAAGCGUGGGUAGCAAAC
rnacentral:rRNA from 1 species